UACGUAGGGGGCAAGCGUUGUCCGGAUUUAUUGGGCGUAAAGAGCGUGUAGGCGGCUGGGUAGGUCCGUUGUGAAAACUCGAGGCUCAACCUCGAGACGCCGAUGGAAACCCCCUGGCUAGAGUCCGGAAGAGGAGAGUGGAAUUCCUGGUGUAGCGGUGAAAUGCGCAGAUAUCAGGAAGAACACCCGUGGCGAAGGCGGCUCUCUGGGACGGUACUGACGCUGAGACGCGAAAGCGUGGGGAGCGAACAGG
rnacentral:rRNA from 1 species